AAGACCUUCACAAUCGGGAACCCGUAGAUUGGAUCUUCUGAAAACAUCAGAGAAAGACUAUCUUUGCCAUCCACACUACAGUAAAACUUUGGAGCCUUGAACCUUGGAUUUAUAAUCUCACAACUGAGAAGGGUCCCUCCAUACUCCUGGAACUGUACACCCAUUGGAACUCUUAAGGAACGAGAGAAAUGCACCAUUACUUGGUCAUAAAUUCAACUUAAUGGAUGAUAUACAUGGCCAGGUGAAGACAGUAGAGAGAAAACAGAACUGAAAGCUCCACACUCUUAAAAGGAGAGAGAAGCAAAGAAGGACAGUCAAUCAAUGCCAGCAUUGGUCAUUUUCAUUCUAUAACAAGUGAAGAGAUGAAGGAGAAAACUGGCUUGGGCCCAAUAUUCAGUAUGGUUGGAAACCACUUCAAGGAAGAGGUGCAAAUAUAUUCUAACUUAGAAGGGUAAGUAAUGAACUUCCAGGAAGCCAGAACUUCUAGAAGCUCAAGAUCAAGGUGCUAAGAUGUAGGCCUGUGGACAGUGAGGCUUUCUUGCCACAACAAAUCUAAUACCAGUUUUUGUAACAGUGGGUGUGUAACAAUGCAUGCUGUAGAUGAUGAAAAGAAGAGAAAGUGAAAAGAAGAUGGGAGAUCGAUGAGAAAGAUAUUCCAACCAUUGGGAAGGA
rnacentral:lncRNA from 1 species